rnacentral:rRNA from 1 species
AACGCGAAGAACCUUACCUGGGCUCGAACGGCUUUGGAUCGACGGUGGAAACACUGUUUUCCCGCAAGGGACCGGAGUCGAGGUGCUGCAUGGCUGUCGUCAGCUCGUGUCGUGAGAUGUUGGGUUAAGUCCCGCAACGAGCGCAACCCUUGUCCUGUGUUGCCACUCCGCAAGGAAGCACUCUCAGGAGACCGCCAGCGAUAAGUUGGAGGAAGGUGGGGAUGAUGUCAAGUCAUCAUGGCCUUUAUGUCCAGGGCUACACACGUGCUACAAUGGUCGGUACAAAGCGCUGCAAACCCGCGAGGGGGAGCUAAUCGCAAAAAACCGUCCUCAGUUCGGAUUGCAGGCUGCAACUCGCCUGCAUGAAGCUGGAAUCGCUAGUAAUGCCGUAUCAGAAUGAUGGCGUGAAUACGUUCCCGGGCCUUGUA